UACGGAGGGAGCUAGCGUUAUUCGGAAUUACUGGGCGUAAAGCGCACGUAGGCGGCUUUGUAAGUAAGAGGUGAAAGCCCGGAGCUCAACUCCGGAACUGCCUUUUAGACUGCAUCGCUUGAAUCCAGGAGAGGUGAGUGGAAUUCCGAGUGUAGAGGUGAAAUUCGUAGAUAUUCGGAAGAACACCAGUGGCGAAGGCGGCUCACUAGACGAUUGUUGACGCUGAGGUGCGAAAGCGUGGGGAGCAAACAGG
rnacentral:rRNA from 1 species